rnacentral:ncRNA from 2 species
GCCGCGGGCCGUGACUGGCGCGCUGGGAUGGGACCGACCAUCGGGGAGCGGCCUGUACGUCAGCGAGUGCCGUGCGCCUGGGCCGAACCG